AUGUCCAUCAUGAUAGUCAUGCAGUUUUUCGUGUUUGCCUUACUCUGUCUCCCGUGUUGGGCCAAUGCCGUGCAUCCACCCAUCUUGUCCACUGCUGAAACAGCCACAACAAGCGCCACUGACCACCAAGCGCUCAUGUCAUUGAGGUCUCUGAUUAAAGGAGAUCCAUCCCAAGCACUGGAUUCAUGGGGAAACCAGUCGAUCCCUAUGUGCCAAUGGCGUGGAGUGGCCUGUGGCACGCGUGGCCGCCGCCGCGGUCGCGUCGUAGCACUGGAUCUUCGCAGGCUCAACCUUGUUGGCACCAUUGCCUCUUCCAUAGGUAAUUUAACUUACCUCAGGCAUUUUGGCCUCCAAAAGAACCGUUUUUAUGGUACCAUGCCAUCAGAAGUUGGACAUCUCGUACAACUCGAGUAUCUGAACCUCAGUAACAACUCCAUCGGCGGGGAGAUCCCGCCGACAUUGGCCACUUGUGUGCAGCUUCGAGUUAUCGAUCUCAGGUACAACGUGCAUAAAGGCUCGGUGCCUCGCGAGUUGGCAUCCCUGCAUAAUCUUGAGGUACUGGCUCUUGGGUACAACAACCUUACAGGAAGUAUCCCUGUGGAGAUUGGAAACCUGAAAGCGCUGAAGUAUCUUCAUCUGAGAGCAAACAUGCUAGUAGGAGAAGUACCUACGGAGAUUGGAAAACUUAGAAACUUGACCCAUUUAUAUCUUAACGUCAAUGGUCUGUCAGGUUCCAUUCCUGCCUCUCUUGGAGGCCUCCAGAAAUUGCAGCUUCUGUACCUAUCGAGCAACCAGCUCUCAGAGUCGAUCCCACCUUCCCUAGGGAACCUCUCAUCUCUACUAGUUCUAGUUGUCCAAAAAAAUGGCCUAACUGGUAGCAUCCCUGAAUCGUUAGGAAAUCUGAAUCUCCUCAACGACCUUUCUCUCGCAGUUAAUAGACUUACAGGCUCAAUCCCUCCCACUCUUGGAAAACUCAGUUCUCUCGUUGAGUUUUAUCUGAACGGGAAUCAACUUGAGGGUUCUAUACCACCCUCUGUCUAUAAUCUUUCAUCCCUCCAAAUUUUUAAUGUGCAAUACAACAACCUCAGUGGAUCCAUUUCAGAUGAUUUGGGUAAUAAGUUUCCAGAACUACAGCUACUUGGUAUAAACAGUAAUCACUUUCAUGGAUCCAUCCCAGAGUCUUUAUGCAAUGCUUCAAUGCUUGAAGGAAUUCAAUUGGGUGACAACUUUCUAUCCGGAGUAAUACCAAAAUGUCUUGGAGCUACCAUGAAGAGCUUAUCGAUACUGCUUCUCGCAGUAGGUCAACUAGAGGCAAGGAAUGAUGCCGACUGGGACUUCAUUUCUAGCCUGACAAACUGUAGUAUGCUGCAGGACCUAGAUCUAAGCAAUAACAAACUAGAAGGGGUGCUACCAAAUUCAAUAGCAAAUCUUUCCACAAAUUUAAGAUCUUUCAGCGUAUCACUCAACAUGCUAAGGGGAAAUAUACCUGAAGGAAUUGGAAACCUUGUCAACUUGCAACACUUGCACUUGGAAGGUAAUUUCCUACAUGGGAAAAUUCCUGAAUCAAUUGGCAACCUUGGGAUCCUGGGUGAACUAUACUUGUCAAACAACAGUUUAUCUGGACCAAUUCCACCAAUGCUUGGAAAUCUCACAGCAUUAAUUACACUCGACCUCAGCCAAAAUGUGCUUGCCGGUCCCAUACCAUCCAGCCUUGGAAGCUGCCCUCUGGACACAUUGAGCCUAGCAUUCAAUCAGCUUGUUGGUUCAAUACCAAAAGAGAUUUUCCUCAUAUCGACACUAUCUGAUUCCAUGCAGCUCCAAGGCAAUAAGUUAACUGGGACAAUUCCUCCAGAAGUUAGUAAUCUAGUGAAUCUUGGAUCUCUGGAUGUGUCUGACAACAGGAUAACUGGCUUAGUUCCUGCCUCUCUAGCUCAGUGUGGAAGUUUGCAGUAUCUCAUUAUGGAAGGAAACCUACUUCAGGGCACAAUUCCAGCAUCAAUGUCACAGAUGAAAGGACUUCUAGUUCUUGAUGUUUCAAGAAACAACUUGUCCGGGGACAUCCCAGUCUUCCUUGGGGACAUGCAGGGGCUCGCUACCCUGAACAUAUCAUUCAACAAUUUUGAGGGUGAAGUUCCGAAACGUGGAUUAUUUCUGAAUGCAAGUGCAGCUCUGAUCGAAGGGAACUAUGGCUUAUGUGGAGGUAUCCCCCAAUUUAACUUGCAUCCAUGCUCAAAUCAUACAUCCAAGAAGUGGUCUCACAAGAUUGUCGUGUUCAUCUCAGUAGGUAGCGCAUUUCUUUGCAUCAUCUUAGUACUAUUUGCACUAUUUGCACGACGGAAAUUGAGAAGCGAGUUUACAAAGACAAGACGGGUUCCAUCACUCCAUAGUGGACAGCAUAUGAGGGUUACCUAUGCUGAAUUAGUGAGAGCAACAAGUGGUUUUGCUUCUGAGAACCUCUUAGGCACAGGAAGCUUUGGGUCCGUGUACAAAGGAACAAUGAUGGAUGGAGAUCAGGAAGUGAUUGUCGCUGUGAAGGUGCUCAACCUCCAGCAGCGAGGGGCAUCUCAAAGCUUUGUUGCAGAAUGUGAGACUUUAAGAUGCAUCAGACAUCGAAACCUUGUGAAGAUAUUGACCGUCUGCUCAAGUAUUGAUUCCAGGGGUCUAGACUUCAAAGCUCUCGUAUUUGAGUUCAUGCCGAAUGGAGAUCUUGAUCAAUGGCAACACAGCCGUCUCCUGGAAGAUGGGAGCCAUGGCGUGCUCAGUCUUACCCAAAGGAUAGACAUUGCCAUUGAUGUAGCUUCAGCACUCGAAUACCUUCACCACAAUAAGCCAGUGCCAAUAGUUCACUGUGAUCUUAAGCCAAGCAAUAUUCUCCUCGAUAAUGACAUGGUUGCCCAUGUGGGUGACUUUGGACUCGCAAGGUUCUUGCACCAGGAUGAUACUAGCCUCCCAGAGAUAUCAAGUGGUUGGGCUACAAGAAGGGGAACAAUUGGAUAUGCUGCCCCAGAGUAUGGUCAAGGAAAUGAAGUCUCGGUCUAUGGUGAUACAUAUAGCUAUGGAAUACUGCUGUUAGAGUUGUUCACUGGUAAAAGGCCAACUGAUGGUGACUUUCUGCAAGACCUAAACCUACAUAGUUACGUCGAGAUAGCACUGAGAGACCAAGCCAGCAACCUGGCCAAUCUGUGUUUAUUAUCUUCACUGGAGGAAGGGACAACCAUGAGAGCUGCAUUCAUCACUUCAGUGCUGCACAUUGGGAUAUUAUGCUCGAAGGAACUGCCAAUUGAUCGCAUGCAGAUUGGGGAUGCUACGAGAGAGCUACUGGCGAUCAGAGACAAGUAUCGCACACACCUAUUGAGUGAAGGUGGGUCGAUUUAA
rnacentral:rRNA from 1 species